rnacentral:misc_RNA from 1 species
UCUCCGUAGGUGAACCUGCGGAGGGAUCAUUACAGAGUUCAUGCCCUACCGGGUAGAUCUCCCACCCUAUGUUAUUAUUACUUUGUUGCUUUUGCGGGCCGUUAGGCUCCGGCCCGACUACCGGCCCCGGCUGGUAAGCGCCCGCCAGAGAACCCAAAACCCUGAAUAUUAGUGUCGUCUGAGUACUAUAUAAUAGUUAAAACUUUCAACAACGGAUCUCUUGGUUCUG